UACGGAGGGUGCAAGCGUUAUCCGGAUUCACUGGGUUUAAAGGGUGCGUAGGAGGGCAGGUAAGUCAGUGGUGAAAUCCCCAAGCUUAACUUGGGAACUGCCGUUGAUACUAUCUGCCUUGAAUACCGUGGAGGUGAGCGGAAUAUGUCAUGUAGCGGUGAAAUGCUUAGAUAUGACAUAGAACACCAAUUGCGAAGGCAGCUCGCUACACGAAUAUUGACUCUGAGGCACGAAAGCGUGGGGAUCAAACAGG
rnacentral:rRNA from 1 species